rnacentral:rRNA from 1 species
AUUGAACGCUGGCGGCAGGCCUAACACAUGCCAGUCGAGCGGAUGAAGGGAGCUUGCUCCUGGAUUCAGCGGCGGACGGGUGAGUAAUGCCUAGGAAUCUGCCUGGUAGUGGGGGAUAACGUCCGGAAACGGGCGCUAAUACCGCAUACGUCCUGAGGGAGAAAGUGGGGGAUCUUCGGACCUCACGCUAUCAGAUGAGCCUAGGUCGGAUUAGCUAGUUGGUGGGGUAAAGGCCUACCAAGGCGACGAUCCGUAACUGGUCUGAGAGGAUGAUCAGUCACACUGGAACUGAGACACGGUCCAGACUCCUACGGGAGGCAGCAGUGGGGAAUAUUGGACAAUGGGCGAAAGCCUGAUCCAGCCAUGCCGCGUGUGUGAAGAAGGUCUUCGGAUUGUAAAGCACUUUAAGUUGGGAGGAAGGGCAGUAAGUUAAUACCUUGCUGUUUUGACGUUACCAACAGAAUAAGCACCGGCUAGCUUCGUG